ensembl:lncRNA
CAUUGUAUAAAUUAGUGAUGAAUUUUGUGAAGGAAAUGAAAGUGGGAAAUGUGAUGUUGUCUUGGGGAGCGAACAGAGUGGUCGGGAAAGGACUGGGAGAGUGAGUGGGGAAUGAAGGCAAAGGUGAUGCUUGGAUGACAGUGUCCUCCACUGAGACCGCGAACAUAAGGAGAAAGGGAAGUUUAAGAGGAGAUGAUGUCGAGCGCAGUGUGGGAGAUCCAUGAGAAUAUGCCCAGAAGAGAACAAAGAAGAUAGGAGUAUCCACCUCUGCCACACCACACUGCAAACACACACAUGCUCAGAGGCAUACGUGCAUGUGACACGUGAACACACAUCCCAUGGGAUCAGUCCACACAGAGGUGGGGACGUGCCGAACCUGAGGAUCAAAACAGCAACAGUGUGAAAAUGAGGCCCCAGAGGCCUCCUGAGGGUUCCGAUCAAAGAUCGAUGCUUCUUUAUUCAUUAAGGAUCACCGUCGUGGAGGCAGGAGCGGCGUGCUCCCUCCUGUGCAGCAGAGACAGUCAAUGGUUUUAUGGUUUUAUUCAGCACAUGUGCUAAGCUGCUCUGGUUGACAAUGUGAGACAAUAAAACCCCAAUCUGAAAAAGAAGCAAGGCCAAGGAACUUUUUUCUGGGAAGAAGUGGAAGAACAGUUCUCCAUCUCCUCAGAGAAAACCAUAAAAGAAGAUAAAUUAGUUAAAAGAAGACCUACAGGAAGAGGGUGGUGUUCUGUGUUGGGAGGCCUGACCGCCGUCAGGAGCAGAAAGGAACCCACCCAUGGGCUGGCUGUGGCCUCAGUGAGUUCUGAGCUGCUAGGGCCCUGGCUUCAAUCUUACAAGUUCAAAAUUUAAUCUGAUCUUCAUUCCCAAACUGAUCCAGCUAGAGUAUAUUUUUCUCCCUCUCUCAAACAUCACAAAAGUAUAUUUAAAAUCACGACAAUCUUUAAAUUUAUAGAAUGAGAACUGUAACACCCAAGUGAAAUGAACAAUCACAUUAUCCUUCCUGCACAUUCUCUUCCCAGAGAUAAGCUUUAUGAGAUGCCAAAUUAUGACUGGAACCAGCCAGCUUUUGUAGAGUAUUCGAAAAUCUACCAGAUCAGAGUCUGAUAGCCAUGCACACAGCUGGGGAUCGAUUCCUUGGGCCAGCUAAUCAAU